ACUAUUUUUUUUCACAAAUGCUUAAUUAUAUUACAGAAGUCAGUAUCAUUGCGUUUAUGGAGCUCAAAAGUAGGUUCAAAAGAAGGCUUUAGAAAAGUUGAUCACCACAAGUAGUCCACUACUAAUCACUAAAUAUUGAAGUCCACAUGCAACAGUAGCAAGUCCAACUCAUCAGAUAAGGGGAAAAUGCACUGUUAUACACAUAUUCCUUAAACACCAUCCUUAUCUUCCACCUUCCUCCCUUCUAGGGGCAGGGUAUUUCACAGAAAGGGGUUUGUGUUAAAGUUACCACUCCAGCUGAGAAGAAAAACAGAGAAAAGGGGUAUUAAGUUAUGCGCUUCUAGGUGCAGUAAGGGUUAUACAACACAGACACAAUUUACAAGGAAUAAGUUAUUUUUAUGUUUUUUAGAUUCUCUCUAAGGUUUAGAGACUUAGUUCCUGCAGAAAGUAUCAUGUCUUAUUUCAGAACGGUUGGUUAAUCAUAUGUAAUAUAACCAGCAAACAAUUAUCACACAGUUUGCAUCAUGGCCAGAAGACUAAGCUUCAAUCCAAGUGUUUUUCUCCUUUCACUGACAGGAAAUCCUUUCUGAACCGAUAUAUUGACCUAUCAGUUACUAGAUUACCAGCUAUGGAAAUCAAUACACAAUAAUAUAAGACAGAAGUCUGAAAAGGAACUUUUCUUCUGUGUUCAACCCAGGCACGCUAAAAGGAUUAUAAGGCUGAGAAUUAAAAGAAAAACAAAGAUGACCUGAAAUGAAAUAGAACAAGAUGAAGUUGCCUUUGAGCACAUUUAUGCGAGGCUGAAGGAAAAUGCCUGACCUCACAAGAGACCCAAUUCAGAGAUGGAGGCCAUUGGCAAUUCUUGGCAAUACUGUUCCAGCUACAAAGAAAACAGACUCAAAGCAGUGGAAGAUGUUGUAGCUGCCUGAAUCAGCCUCAACUGCUAUAGCUGAUGCUGCAUUGCCAUGACACAUACGUGGGAUGUAUUGUUCCAGGUGUUUUGUGUUGGCUGGGAGCCAUUUACUCCUGCACUGCAAUUGAAGAGAACAUUUGCCUCCUUGGUUUUCAACUCUAAUAUCUAACAGCACAAGCAGAGCUUUUGUUAUGCAUCAGCAGCUGCCAAUAUUUUAAUGAAAGGCUCCAACAAGAAUGGUUGUCUUUUGCUUUUGAUUUAUUUUUGCUGGCAGCUCUUCAGAGUUUCAGUCCCUGGUUCACAUCCAGCCCUCUGUAGCUUCUAUGCACAGUCCUCCAGGAUCUCCCAGUAUUCUGUCAUUACAAACUGACUGACUACAGUCACAGCAUCUCUCAAAAAAGUUUCCAGUUUCUACCUUUAAAACUUUUGUUUUCAGCAAUGCAAAUUCUCAAUUCAACCCUCAUCUCCUAAUGAACUGGAGGAAACACUUUGCAUCUGUUAUGUUCAUGCUGAAUCUGCGCAGUUAGCACAGUUUAUCUCCUUAUCCUAUAGCCUGAAUUUGUCUCACAACAAGUAAGGUCUCUGCAUGCUAGUUUAAAGUCUUAAAGGUUUUAAUUUUCAGUUCUUCCUUUUCUUAUCUAUUUAUUUUUAAUUCUUGUAUGAGCAUGUAUUUCACUAAUACUCCAUUCAGAAUGCUGUGACAGCUGUAGGCAAAAUUUCAGGCAUCUAAGUAAGCUUGUGCUUAAAACACAUAAAUCUGUAGAAGUUAAACACAUAUCUAAAUACUCUCUUGAAUUGCUAUCAACAAAAAGAUUUGUGGACUUUUUGCACUGGACUCAGGUAAUGCUUUAUACUAUUUGUACUAUUUGUAACAACAGCACUUAACCUGCUUCCCUUCCACUGUGAUAUUGUUAGGUAUUUUUGCUAAGUCAGUUCUAAUUGGGAGAAAAAAGCCUCGAUAAGUAAUAAAUGUAAAUUAAUUUGUACAGGAAUGAUGGCAAAAUUGUAAAAAUGAUAUGAAUAGUAUUUCUAUUCAUGACAGAAUUUAAAAGCACAGAAUUCACCCAGAUUUAAGAAAAGGUCCUAGAGAGAUUUGUACCUUCCCCAUCUGUACUGGCUUUCAGGAUUUAUCUUGCCAUGAUGGGUCUGUGGAAAUACAAUACUAUCUGGCAUACUAAAUAGUGUCACUUUCUUCUGAUUCUGUUGAGUUUUAAUGCAGAAUAGUAAAGGAAAUGUUAACCUCUCCUGUUCUCACUCCUUCGCUGUGACUUCUAAAACAUCUGACACAAUCCCUUGCAAGUCCUUAUUUCUCUGUAAUUACAUUAACAUGAUGAUGUGCCUUCAUCUAAGGCUUCAUAUGGAUUUCAUCUUGUAAAGAAAAAAGUCCUGAAUCAUUGAAGUGCCAUUUUCUUAUGAAAACUGUCUUCAAAGCCCUAACCUCAACGUUUCUAGAGAUCUGUCGGCUUAGAAGUAACACCUAACACCAUCAAAUAAUUGCCAUUAUCACAUCCAGGGCAAUCACUGCCCCCUCCCCACCACACCUAGGUUUUCAGAAAACAAAAAAGAGUACAUUUUUUCUCAUCCUUAAAAGUUGUUACCCACGAGUGUGACUUAGAUUUACUGAAUUACUCUACUGUAGUGCCCCAGGAGGAGCUGGCAGAGAUUGAUUCCAGCCACACUGAGGAUGACACAUAUCAAACUCUUUCACAGAUGCUUAUUCACCCAUCAGAUUACAUAACAUUGACCUUGGAAUUGCUGAGAACUAAAAUGAGUAAAAAGAGAGUUGGAUGUGUUUUAUCUGGGAUGCCAGGUCAUUAAGACUAUUCUGGUAAGAUAUAACAGAAUGGUAUGAUGCAGACUUUCUACCUCAGGCUAUGAACUUGUCAUCUUACAAGUGAAG